GCAUAUCAAUAAGCGGAGGAAAAGAAACCAACAGGGAUUGCCCCAGUAACGGCGAGUGAAGCGGCAACAGCUCAAAUUUGAAAGCUGGCUCUUGGGCCCGCGUUGUAAUUUGGAGAGGAUGCUUUUGGCACGGCGCCUUCCGAGUGCCUUGGAACAGGCCGCCACAGAGGGUGAGAGCCCCGUACGGUCGGACGCCUAGCCUAUACAAAGCUCCUUCGACGAGUCGAGUAGUUUGGGAAUGCUGCUCAAAAUGGGAGGUAAAUUUCUUCUAAAGCUAAAUACCGGCCAGAGACCGAUAGCGCACAAGUAGAGUGAUCGAAAGAUGAAAAGCACUUUGAAAAGAGGGUUAAACAGUACGUGAAAUUGUUGAAAGGGAAGCGCCUGUGACCAGACUUGCGCCCUGCAGACCACCCGGCGUUCUCGCCGGUGCACUCUGCAGGGUGCAGGCCAGCAUCGGUUUUCCUAGGGGGACAAAGGCCGCAGGAACGUAGCUCCUUCGGGAGUGUUAUAGCCUGUGGCGCCAUGCCUCUGGGGGGACCGAGGACCGCGCUUCGGCAAGGAUGCUGGCGUAAUGGUCACCAGCGACCCGUCUUGAAACACGGACC
rnacentral:rRNA from 1 species